UAUGAUGUUGUUGCGGUUAAAAAGCCCGUAGUUGGAUUUGAGGAUUUUGUCCGUGAGGCGGCUCUCGACCACUUCGGUGGAAGGGAUUACCGUCUUACAGUAAGACAAGGUUCUGAGACAUGUGGGAACGUCCACCGCCGGGUUUCUCAGGUGAAUGCCUCGAGCGACUCGGCAUUAAAAGCGGAGAGUUCAGCUUUGCACACUCCGUAAGGUGCGCCCGCAGCCGUCACUGUGAACAAAUCAGAGUGCUCAAGGCAACCAUUCUGAAUGGUUGAAUGCUAAAGCAUGGAAUGACAUGGGAUCGACCUUGGAUGGCGUCUUUUGUUGGUCUUUGCGCCUCUUGCGGUUGCUUGCAGCCCGAAGGAGAAUUUUUGUGGCGCGGCAUUUACUCGGAUCAGGUUCGCUUGGUCUUGGUGAGGCGGCCACAGCACGGGAUAAAUAGGAUCACGGGGGGCCCUCGCUACUGGCGGGCUAGUGGUGAAAUACAUAGACCCCGCCAAGAGCAACAUCAGCGAAAGCAGUGGGCUAUCGUGCUUUCAUUAAUCAAGGACGAGAGAUGUGGGAUCAAAGAGGAUUAGACACCCUCGUAGUCGCUUCUGUAAAUUCUGCAGGCUCGGGAUCGGUCACGGCUCUAUCUA
rnacentral:rRNA from 1 species